rnacentral:rRNA from 1 species
CCUACGGGAGGCAGCAGUGGGGAAUCUUGCGCAAUGGGCGAAAGCCUGACGCAGCAACGCCGCGUGCGGGAAGAAGGCUUUCGGGCUGUAAACCGCUUUCAGCAGGAACGAAAAUGACGGUACCUGCAGAAGAAGGAGCGGCCAACUAUGUGCCAGCAGCCGCGGUGAUACAUAGGCUUCAAGCGUUGUCCGGAUUUAUUGGGCGUAAAGAGUUCGUAGGCGGUCAAGUAAGUCGGGUGUGAAAAUUCUGGGCUCAACCCAGAGACGCCACCCGAUACUGCUUAACUUGAGUUCGAUAGGGGAGUGGGGAAUUCCUAGUGUAGCGGUGAAAUGCGCAGAUAUUAGGAGGAACACCGGUGGCGAAGGCGCCACUCUGGAUCGAUACUGACGCUGAGGAACGAAAGCAUGGGUAGCAAACAGGAUUAGAUACCCUGGUAGUCCAUGCCGUAAACGGUGGGCACUAGGUGUGGGUUUCUAUUAACGAAAUCCGCGCCGUCGCUAACGCAUUAAGUGCCCCGCCUGGGGAAGUACGGUCGCAAGCUUAAAACCNCAAANAGAUAGACGCGNGAGACGNGCGACGACGACGACGAGGAGAGG